GUGGAGCAUGUGGCUUAAUUUGACUCAACGCGGGAAAUCUUACCGGGUCCGGACACACUGAGGAUUGACAGGCAAUAUUAAUACAUCAGCUCUUUUUUAUUAAAGUCUGUGUAUUAUGUUAAAUAUGCUAGUCCUUUCAUGAUUAUGUGAUAGGUGGUGCAUGGCCGUUCUUAGUUCGUGGAGUGAUCUGUCUGCUUAAUUGCGUUUCACUAAGGGCCUAUAAAUUUACGUGUGUUGCGGCACUUUGACCCCUCUCUGAGCGCGCGUCUUAGUUUGCUUUGCUCGCACAAUUAGGUCCUGAAAGCAACGAACGUGACCGCAACCUCUUGUUGCCUUUAUUCCAAACAUGUUUGCCAUUUUAAAUGGUAUUCAUGAAAAAAGGCUUUUUAAACUAGAGGGACCGCUGUUACUUUCUUAAACCAGAGGAAGGUUGCGGCAAUAACAGGUCUGUGAUGCCCUUAGAUGUUCCGGGCUGCACACGUGCUACAAUGAUUAUUGCAGUGAGCAUCUCAUUUUUACACACCGCAUGCGCGAGUCCAUUUAUUCACCUCUCUGAGGCGCUUUAAAUGUGUACCUCUGCGCGCGGUAAAGCCUGCUUCGAGAGUAAGUGGGUAAUCAAUUAGAAGUAAUGAUUUCCUUUUUAGCACACAUAUAUACGGCGUCUAUGCCCGGGCUGCCUUGUUGUAGCUUUUGUGCGUAUAGAUGUUUUUUCCGUAUGUGCGAUUGUCAAUUCAUGGUGGGGACAGACCAUUGUUAAUUGUUGGUCUCGGUCUUAACUAGGAAUGCCUUGUACGGGUCUUUGGUUCAACAAACCACCCGGAAUACGUCCCUGCCCUUUGUACACACCGCCCGUCGCUCUUACCGAUGGACUUCUCUGUGAGUUUGAGGGACUGGGAACGCAGAUUUUAUCUGCACACCUAUGGAAACUUAAACG
rnacentral:rRNA from 1 species